rnacentral:rRNA from 1 species
AGCGUAGACGGAUGGACAAGUCUGAUGUGAAAGGCUGGGGCUCAACCCCGGGACUGCAUUGGAAACUGCCCGUCUUGAGUGCCGGAGAGGUAAGCGGAAUUCCUAGUGUAGCGGUGAAAUGCGUAGAUAUUAGGAGGAACACCAGUGGCGAAGGCGGCUUACUGGACGGUAACUGACGUUGAGGCUCGAAAGCGUGGGGAGCAAACAG